AGUGAACGCUGGCGGUAGGCCUAACACAUGCAAGUCGAACGGCAGCACAGAGGAGCUUGCUCCUUGGGUGGCGAGUGGCGGACGGGUGAGGAAUACAUCGGAAUCUACUCUGUCGUGGGGGAUAACGUAGGGAAACUUACGCUAAUACCGCAUACGACCUACGGGUGAAAGCAGGGGACCUUCGGGCCUUGCGCGAUUGAAUGAGCCGAUGUCGGAUUAGCUAGUUGGCGGGGUAAAGGCCCACCAAGGCGACGAUCCGUAGCUGGUCUGAGAGGAUGAGCAGCCACACUGGAACUGAGACACGGUCCAGACGCCUACGGGAGGCAGCAGUGGGGAAUAUUGGACAAUGGGCGCAAGCCUGAUCCAGCCAUACCGCGUGGGUGAAGAAGGCCUUCGGGUUGUAAAGCCCUUUUGUUGGGAAAGAAAUCCAGCUGGCUAAUACCCGGUUGGGAUGACGGUACCCAAAGAAUAAGCACCGGCUAACUUCAUGCCAGCCGCCGCCGUAA
rnacentral:rRNA from 1 species